rnacentral:rRNA from 1 species
UACGUAGGUGGCAAGCGUUGUCCGGAUUUACUGGGCGUAAAGAGCGCGCAGGCGGUCGGCCAAGUCGAGUGUGAAAGCCCCCGGCUCAACUGGGGAGGGUCAUUCGAUACUGGUCGACUCGAAGGCAGGAGAGGGAAGCGGAAUUCCCGGUGUAGUGGUGGAAAAUGCGUAGAUAUCGGGGAGGAACACCAGUGGCGAAGGGCGGCUUCCUGG